GGUUCGGUGGUCUAGGGGUAUGAUUCUCGCUUAGGGUGCGAGAGGUCCCGGGUUCAAAUCCCGGUCGAGCUC
rnacentral:tRNA from 1 species